rnacentral:rRNA from 1 species
GGAAUACUGCAUAGCUAGGGAGUGGGAGAGGUAGACGGUACUCCGUAGGAAGGGGUAAAAUCCUUUGAUCUAUGGAUGACCACCUGUGGCGAAGGCGGUCUACCAGAACACGUUCGACGGUGAGGGAUGAAAGCUGGGGGAGCAAACCGGAUUAGAUACCCGGGUAGUCCCAGCUGUAAACUAUGCAAACUCAGUGAUGCAUUGGCUUGUGGCCAGUGCAGUGCCGCAGAGAAGUCGUUAAGUUUGCCGCCUGGGAAGUACGUACGCAAGUAUGAAACUUAAAGGAAUUGGCGGGGGAGCACCACAAGGGGUGAAGCCUGCGGUUUAAUUGGAGUCAACGCCAGAAAUCUUACCCGGAGAGACAGCAGGAUGAAGGUCAAGCUGAAGACUUUACCAGACAAGCUGAGAAGUGGUGCAUGGCCGUCGCCAGCUCGUGCCGUGAG